UUUCUUUUAUUUUAAAUUUUAGAAUUUCUUUUUUCCAAAAAGAAGGUAUUUAAGAAUU
rnacentral:tRNA from 1 species